UCAAAGUUUGAUUCUGUCUUAAUAGUUUCUUUUAUAAAUUGAUUAUAUGUAUUUUAAUUAAUUUUAAAAAAAGCAGUAAUUAGUAUUGGUUUAUAUUAUAGUUAAUAUACAGAUAUUUAUAUAGACUAGGUUAAUUUUGUGCCAGCAUCCGCGGUUAUACAAAUUUAUUCAAGGUAAUUUUUUAUAUUUUUAUUUGUUUAUAUUAGUUGAUUAUUGAUUUAAAAUAUUUAGGUUGAAUUUAUAUUUUUAUAUAAUUCUUUUUAAUUUUCUUGUAAAUAUUAUUUUAAAACUAGGAUUAGAUACCCUAUUAUUUUUUGUUUAGUUUGUUAUAUGAAUAUUGAUAGUUAUGUCCUAUAAAACUCAAAGAAUUUGGCGGUGAUUUAAUCUUCUCAGGGGAACCUGUUUAUUAAUUGAUAAACCACAAUAGUUACUACUUUAAUUUAAUUUGUAUAUCGCUAUGAUGAAUAAUUUUUAAGGGGUUUUCUUUAAUAAUAUUUAAUUUAUAUUAGGUCAAGGUGCAGUUUUAUUUUAGUUUAAAUGGGUUACUUUAAUAUUAAUAUAUUUUGGAUUAUUUUAUAUUAUUUUUUUUGAAAGAGGAUUUGAAAGUAAUUUUAUUUAAUUAUUUAUUUUGAAUUUAGCUAUAAAUCAUGUACAUAUUGCCCGUCGCUCCAUUUUUUUUUGGAUAAGUCGUAACAAAGUAAUCUUACUGGAAAGUGAGGUUAGUAAUUCUU
rnacentral:ncRNA from 1 species